ensembl:lincRNA
GCCCGCCGCCCGCCGCGCCCGCCGCCUGAAGGAAGCUUCUUUUCCCGCGCCUCGCGCGCUAGCGCGGGUGGCAGAGAAGGAAGUGACGCACCGGGAUUUUAUUGGCUGCAGACACACGCAGCAUCUUCUUGCGCUCCUCCUUGAGGUGGAUGGGCAGCUAGCUGCAGAUGGCACAGGAUGAUGCGCAUCUUUCGCACGCUGGCUCCAAGAUCUCCGCUGCCAGAUGCAGCAACAAAGCUUCUUUGUACAGACAGCCCUGGACACGCUUCCAGCAGCAAUUCUUCUUGCAGAAACUGGUGCAAGAUGACUUCAACAGAAGUGGAGUAAAUAAAGAUGAUCACAGAACUUGGAAGCUGACGAAAUUAAUUUUGGAAAAGAGCUAGCUUGGAGCAUGACAGAAGAAUGCGAUGGAAAGAGUGCUAGGAGCCCAACUCAAGACUGAUGUGUGCUUGGCAGGCAGUCUACCCCCGAUCUCAGUCCUCCAGCCUUUUGGCCUUUUUUCCUUUUUGGAGACAGAAUUGCAUCAUAUGGCAUCCUACACAGUCCUGCCUCAGUCUCUGGAGUGCUGGGAUUGUAGGCCUAUGCCACCUAGCCUUUCUACAAUACAAACAAAUAUGAAAAGAAGAGGGGCUUCUUUGGAAAGGAGUACAGGGACUAUGGAAGAGAUGAAAAGAUAAUAUUGUCAGAAAUUAUGCCGCUUUUGAAGAGAUAAACUGAACUCUUUUGAUUCUGUGAGGUUAUUAAAGAAUAUAAUUUUCAAAUCACGGUAAAAUCUUGAUUCAGCAACACAUGAGGAUAAUCAUUGUUUCCAUGGCAACCUUGGGAAACAGUUGAAAGUCUGGUCCCUCUUGCCUGGAGCAUUAACACAACGUGGCUGCAAAGUUAGUCCUUUCCCGCUACCAUCUCCUGAAUACUGGGACUAACUACACGUAUGCACGAACCUGCCCAUCUUUGCCUCUGUUAACAGCUGCCACUAUCUCUUCACGACAUGGUAGCUGACCUAGGUUGGAAGGAACAGAGCCAGUUGGCCAUGGACUGAAACUUUUGGAACUGAUUCUGAGGAGUUAAUGUUUCCAUGAAUAUCUCAGAAGGAGAUGUGGACAAACGAACAGUUAUCUCACUCCUGUAGCUGGCUGAGCUUUUUAAAGAUGGCUAUUCUGAAUUCUUCACAGAUGGCACAGUGUCAGAAUCAUGUGUGGCCUCCUGCUGCCUGAACCAUGCCGCUAAGACAGUUGCCCACUGUGCAGUUUCACACCAUCUGCAGAGAGCAACACUGGCUUGGGAGAGCCUUGCCAGUUGCUGAAAGCCUAGCUGACUGCCAAGCCUUGCACUGUAGACUGAAAAUUGCUCUCUUUGCUGAGCUCAGUACUAAUACUUAGAUCUUCAUGGUCUCCUGGGAGACCAUGUCAGCUGCUGUUCAGUGAGAUAAAUUUGGAUCAGCUGAAGAUAUGCACACUCUAUGCCUUCCUUGACUGUCAGCUAAACAGUCUGCACUCCUGGCUUAGUACAGCCUUGGCUGCUGAGAGCCCCAUUCCUCCCCUGUGCUCUUCAUUGUCCUCAUGAUCUGGCUUUCAUCAUCCAUUAUACUCCUAACACUGGGAGUGAAGUGUCAUUGAAGAAUGUUCAUCAGGUACUACCUCAAAGGGCUGGAGAUGAUUGGUGAAUGCUUUGAUUCUUCAUUCCUCCUAGGACACAUAUCAAGCCCCCAGAAUUUCUCUCUAUCCAGUUGCACCAGUGUGAGGAACUUGACGGUGUCAGGAAAGUGAAACUGCUUCUCUGCUCCAUAUAAAUGUCUGUGCAGAUGCAAAGCCAUGCAUUACAUGGUAGCUCACCUUUAAUCCUAGCACUCAGGAGACAGAGGCAGGAGGAUCUCUCCGAGCUCAAAGCCAGCCUGGUCUUCACAGUGAGUUCCAGGACAGCCAACGCUACACAGGAAUCCUGUGUACAGGUCCUUGGUAUUGCACUCCUCUCUAUAAACACAACUUGCUUUUAGAAUGUGUGGUUGUUAAGUUGUUCUGUGAAGGAUGGAUAAAGGCUAGCUCACUACUACACCCGUCAGCUUGCUCCUGUCACUUCUUCUCACCUUUGAGCACUUAGCAUCCCUCUCCGUGUUGUCUUUGCUGAAAUGCUUGCUAAGGAGAAGCUCCUCUGUAGCUGUCCUCUAGCCCCAGCCAAGAUUCUUUCAAGACUUUUCUUUGGCCUUCUGUAAUUUGAAUAUGAUGAAUGUUUUUAUUUAC